rnacentral:rRNA from 1 species
CCCACCUCUUCCCAUCCCGAACAGAGAAGUUAAACCCCGCCGCGCCGAUGGUACUGCGAAAGCGGGAGAGUAGGUAACCGCCACCU